rnacentral:rRNA from 1 species
GACUCGUCACACUAUCAUUAACUGAAUCCAUAGGUUAAUGAGGCGAACCGGGGGAACUGAAACAUCUAAGUACCCCGAGGAAAAGAAAUCAACCGAGAUUCCCCCAGUAGCGGCGAGCGAACGGGGAGGAGCCCAGAGCCUGAAUCAGCAUGUGUGUUAGUGGAAGCGUCUGGAAAGGCGCGCGAUACAGGGUGACAGCCCCGUACACAAAAGCGCAUGUGCUGUGAGCUCGAUGAGUAGGGCGGGACACGUGGUAUCCUGUCUGAAUAUGGGGGGACCAUCCUCCAAGGCUAAAUACUCCUGACUGACCGAUAGUGAACCAGUACCGUGAGGGAAAGGCGAAAAGAACCCCGGCGAGGGGAGUGAAAAAGAACCUGAAACCGUGUACGUACAAGCAGUGGGAGCACCCUUUGGGGUGUGACUGCG